rnacentral:misc_RNA from 1 species
AAGUCGUAACAAGGUCUCCGUUGGUGAACCAGCGGAGGGAUCAUUAUUGAGUUUCUAUCUCUUCUACCCUUUGUGAACCUUACCUUUUGCCUUCCCUAUACCCUAGGGGAAGCUGUUUUUUUUUGUCUACCUAACAUAACUCUUACUAGAUGUUUUUAAACUUGCUGAGUUAAGCAUAUUGUAAAAUGAAAUCAAAACUUUCAACAACGGAUCUCUUGGUUCUG